rnacentral:lncRNA from 1 species
CUCCGAACUUCUACCACAAGCGGUCUGCUCCGAGCUACCACUACAAGCAGUCUGCUCUGAAUUUCUACUACGAGCAAUCCACGUCGGAUUUCUACUGUAAGCCUCCACCUGAGCUUCUAUUAUGAGCGAAUUCCUUUCAAACUUCUAUUGCAAGCAGGCUUCGGCCGAGCUUCCUCGAUAAAUGAUCCCCAUCCGGACUUCUAUGG